rnacentral:rRNA from 1 species
GAGUUUGAUCUUGGCUCAGGAUGAACGCUAGCGGCAGGCUUAACACAUGCAAGUCGAGGGGUAUAGGUUUUCGGACCUAGAGACCGGCGCACGGGUGCGUAACGCGUAUGCAAUCUACCUUUUACAGAGGGAUAGCCCAGAGAAAUUUGGAUUAAUACCUCAUAGUAUUAUUGAGUGGCAUCAUUUAAUAAUUAAAGUUCCAACGGUAAAGAUGAGCAUGCGUCCCAUUAGCUAGAUGGUAAGGUAACGGCUUACCAUGGCGACGAUGGGUAGGGGUCCUGAGAGGGAGAUCCCCCACACUGGUACUGAGACACGGACCAGACUCCUACGGGAGGCGGCAGUAGGGAAUAUUGGACAAUGGGCGCAAGCCUGAUCCAGCCAUGCCGCGUGCAGGAUGAAGGCCCUAUGGGUCGUAAACUGCUUUUUGUACGGGAAGAACCUCACUACGUGUAGUGAGUUGACGGUACCGUGAGAAUAAGGAUCGGCUAACUUCGUGCCAGCCGCCGCAGU